AUCUAUAGCCAUACCACCCUGAAAGUGCCCAAUCUCGUCUGAUCUUGGAAGUUAAGCAGGGUCAGGCCUCAUUAGUACUUGGAUGGGAGAAAAUAAUUCUACAGUCU
rnacentral:rRNA from 1 species